rnacentral:rRNA from 1 species
GAUGAACGCUAGCGAUAGGCCUAACACAUGCAAGUCGAGGGGCAGCAUAGAGUAGCAAUACUUUGAUGGCGACCGGCGCACGGGUGAGUAACACGUAUGCAACCUACCUACAUCAGGGGAAUAACCCGGAGAAAUUCGGACUAAUACCGCAUCAUAUAGGCAUGCCGCAUGGCAAUAUUUGUUCAUGAUUUAUUGGAAGUAGAUGGGCAUGCGUUCCAUUAGCUAGUUGGUGAGGUAACGGCUAACCAAGGCAACGAUGGAUAGGGGAACUGAGAGGUUUGUCCCCCACACUGGAACUGAGACACGGACCAGACUCCUACGGGAGGCAGCAGUGAGGAAUAUUGGUCAAUGGACGAGAGUCUGAACCAGCCAAAUCGCGUGAAGGAAGACUGCCCUACGGGUUGUAAACUUCUUUUGUACAGGAAUAAAAGACAUUACGUGUAAUGUAUUGCAUGUACUGUACGAAUAAGCAUCGGCUAACUCCGUGCCAGCCGCCGCCGUAA